rnacentral:lncRNA from 1 species
UGUUCUAGGUCAGUCAAUGGCAAGUCACUCUAAUGACGACCGUUUAGGAGGAGAUCCCUCUGUGACAUGGGGCUUUGGCUUCCGGGAGUUACCAGGGCCACAGCGGGAGCCAGGGAGCUGCAUUUGGGUUCAUUUCGCAGAGAAAGAGAGACGGUCAGAAGAGCAUUGACAAGAGAAAGUGAACUUUGGUCCCUGAUGCUCAACCAUCAACUCCUUAGUGUAGGAUGUUGGAGCUGGAAUGACCUGGCGUUCCUUCAGUCUCGCUUCUGCUUCUUGGUCGAUGAGGAAACAGGCCCAGAGACAGCCACGUGCCAGCUCAUUCCCUUCCUGGAUGAAACAUCCCCACAAAAACAUUAAAUGGCAUUUCAUCCCUGGUUUUGUUUGUUUUCUUUCUUUUGGUCUUUUUAGGGCUGUACCCGCGGCAUAUAGAGGUUCCCAGGCCUGGGGUUGAAUCAGAGCUGCAGUUGCCUGCCUACACCACAGCCACAGCAACAUGGGAUCCAAGCCACGUCUGCAACCUACACCACAGCUCACGGCGACGCCGGAUCCUUAACCCACUGAGCGAGACCAGGGAUUGAACCCGAAACCAAAUGGUUCCUAGUCAGAUUUGUUUCCACUGUGCCACAACAGGAACUCCGGAUUGUAGGUUUUCAGCCGUAAAUCCUUCAUAUGUCAAGAGGUGUUUCACACUGACGCCUGAAAUUAGAAGAUGGGCAGGUAAGGAAGCAGGUGGCCGAGGGGCAUAUCUUGAAGGGCGAGUCCAAUCCUGUCCCACUGGUUGUGCGACCUUGGAUGAGACAUUCUAAUCCCUGGACCCCUGAUUAGUCACCUGGGGAGUAGGGUGACUUCCCCUGACCUUGCGCGGUGACCUUGACGGUGAAAGCAAUACACAGAGGCAGGAGUUGGUGAACGUGAUUGCGGUUUUCACGGGAAGGGUGAUUUUUCUAAAGCAUGCAGAGAAUCAAGUUACUCCUUUUUUGAAAAUGCUACAGGGGUUUUCCAGGGUCCUCAUUCCUCCGUGCAUUUAUUCAACACAUAUUGAGCAUCUGGCAUGUGCCAGGCGCUGUUUUAGGCACCAGGGAUACAGCGAGGAACAAGACGAAACCCCGGUCUUGUGCUUACGAGAGACGUAAACUGGUCAGAUUCCUUCGUUAGGAUGAAGGCACUGCUUCAGGCUUUGCUAGCAUAUUCCCAGGAUGACCUUGGAGAAAAGAGGUUUGUACCAGGUCCCACCGUCUCCAGAGCCACGCCCAAGGCCACCUCUCCCUCCACCCUCAUCCGCACUUGAUUACUAGCUGGAUUUCUAAAAGCACCAACACGUGGAGUUCCCACUGUGCCUCAGCGGUAAUGAAUCCGA